GGCUACACACGUGCUACAAUGGGUAGUACAGAGAGUCGCAAAGCCGUGAGGUAGAGCUAAUCUCAGAAAACUAUUCUUAGUUCGGAUUGUACUCUGCAACUCGAGUACAUGAAGUUGGAAUCGCUAGUAAUCGCAAAUCAGCAAUGUUGCGGUGAAUACGUUCUCGGGUCUUGUACACACCGCCCGUCACACCACGAGAGUUGGUUGCACCUGAAGUAGCAGGCCUAACCGCAAGGAGGGAUGCUCCGAGGGUGUGAUUAGCGAUUGGGGUGAAGUCGUAACAAGGUAUCCGUACGGGAACGU
rnacentral:rRNA from 1 species